rnacentral:rRNA from 1 species
AUACGGAGGGGGCAAGCGUUGUUCGGAAUUACUGGGCGUAAAGAGUACGUAGGCGGAUCGUUAAGUUAGAGGUGAAAUCCCAGGGCUCAACCCUGGAACUGCCUUUAAUACUGGCGAUCUAGAGAUCGAGAGAGGUGAGUGGAAUUUCCAGUGUAGAGGUGAAAUUCGUAGAUAUUAGAAAGAACACCAGUGGCGAAGGCGGCUCACUGGCUCGAUACUGACGCUGAGGUACGAAAGCGUGGGGAGCAAACAGGAUUAGAUACCCUAGUAGUCC